rnacentral:tRNA from 1 species
GCGUUGGUGGCUCAGUGGUAGAAUUCUCGCCUGCCACGUGGGAGACCCGGGUCUGAUUCCCGACCAAUGCA